AAUGGAAACAAAAUCAACUUUUAAACAAUGCAUAUUGAUAAAAUGUUUAUUCGAGACAAUAUAAUCCUGUACAGACCUGUCCACGCAUUCAGUAUGAAAACAUUUAGCGAGAGCAUUGGCUAGAAGAGAGUUAGUAUUGUGGAAAAGGAUUGAUGUAUUUAAUUGCAGUGAUCGUGGGUCUCCUUACGCAUUUUAUAUUAUCUGCCUUAGAAAUUCACUAGUCUUGAAAACUACCAGAUAAUAUGGCAAGUCAUCAGUUUCCGGGGUAUACCCAAAAAGAUUGUUUAUAUAUAUUUUUUUCUUUCUUUCUUUAUGUCAACUAUCUAUUCGUCUAUCAUUUCUGAACUGGCUGUAAAGUGAAAAGUUGGGCUCUCUUUGGUACCCCAGAAACUGAUGCUUUACAACAAGUCCCAAAUAAAGGCAGACAUGUUGAGGUUUUAUUAUUUUUUUUUCUCUAGCACUACAUCUCACUUUGUUUCAUUUAUUGUAGGAAAACGAAUUAUUUGUAUAAAAGUCUCUUCAAAAACAGCUACGGGUUCCGUGCUAUACACAAUCAAGUGAGCGAUUACAACAGAGUCAUCCAAUAUUACACACAUUCCUUGACGUCACCACCGAAUUUCCAAAAAGGGAGGUUCGGAAAUUCAUGAAAAAGCAACGAGAAAGAUUUUUGUCGGAAAUGCAAGUGUGGACGUUUUCCAUGGCAGCGAGAGCCAAUCAGAACGCAGGACUUUCUCCAUUCCCCUGUUGUGAUUGGUGGGUUUGCUGCCGGGCAAAGUUCUCUCUUACGUUUUCGAGUUAUUACUUGCUUUUUCCUGUAAGUACGAACACUAUGCAAGUCAUGUUUGAAGCAAUACAGCCAUAAUUUCAGUUCCUUAAAAAACACAGAACAAUCAAUGUUUUAAAAAGACACAGCAUCUCUCAUUUUGGUAAGAACCCACGUCCAUGCCCAUAACAAAUCAAAUGAAUAAAAUGUCUAAUAAAAACCUUCCACCACCUUUAUACCACCUACAGUCAACAACGAGUGAACAGUCUAUUGGAAACAGCUUCAUCAUAAUUUAGGAAUGGUUGAUUGGUAUUUACGAGAGGGAAUGACCAGAAACACCAAAAAAGUCUCAAUUUGGCAGUUUCAGUGCACACCCAACAGCCCGUUUAGCAAAGGGCAUUGACAUAUCUAUAAUGAACCCUGUGCAUAUGGUACACCUUACCGCAGCACGUGACACGGACCAACUACUGAAAACAUGCUACGCUGUAUGGACCACAUAACGAACGAAGGAACCAAUGGAAUAUAUGGAAAAUAAAAGAGAAUAACG